UGCAAGUCGAGCGCGGGAAGCAGGCAGAUCCCUUCGGGGUGAAACCUGUGGAACGAGCGGCGGACGGGUGAGUAACACGUGGGCAACCUGCCUGAAAGUCCGGGAUAACCCCGGGAAACCGGGGCUAAUACCGGAUGAGCCUGUCGACCGCCUGGUCGACGGGGAAAAGCGGGGAUUUUCCUCGCGCUUUCAGAUGGGCCCGCGGCGCAUUAGCUUGUUGGAGAGGUAAGAGCUCCCCAAGGCGACGAUGCGUAGCCGACCUGAGAGGGUGAUCGGCCACACUGGGACUGAGACACGGCCCAGACUCCUACGGGAGGCAGCAGUAGGGAAUCAUCCGCAAUGGGCGAAAGCCUGACGGUGCAACGCCGCGUGAGUGAAGAAGGUUUUCGGAUCGUAAAGCUCUGUUAUCCGAGAAGAACAAGGACCGGUCAAACAGGCCGGUUCCAUGACGGUACCGGAUCAGAAAGCCCCGGCUAACUACGUGCCAGCAGCCGCGGUAAUACGUAGGGGGCAAGCGUUGUCCGGAAUUAUUGGGCGUAAAGGGCGCGCAGGCGGUUUCCUAAGUCUGAUGUGAAAGGCCACGGCUCAACCGUGGAAUGGCAUUGGAAACUGGGGGACUUGAGUACAGGAGAGGAGAGCGGAAUUCCACGUGUAGCGGUGAAAUGCGUAGAGAUGU
rnacentral:rRNA from 1 species